rnacentral:lncRNA from 10 species
CACUACCCAUGGACCCCAGGCAGUCUAAUUAUAGAGACAAUUGAAUGACACCACACAUUCUAAUGGAAGACACUUCCGGAUGACCCAGACAUCCUAAUGAUAGAGACACUUGUGCAACCCCAGCCAGCCUAAUGAUAGAAACACCUGGGCGACUUUAGGCAUUCUUACGGGAGAGACCUCCAGCUGACCCCAGUAAUUCUGAUGAUAGAGACCCCUGGUUGACCCCUGUCAUUCUGAUGGGAGAAACUCCUGGCUGACACAAUGUAGUCUAAUGGUAGAAACAUCUUGGCGACCCCAGGCAUUCUAAUGGGAGAGACUCCUGACAAAACUUUGGCAUUCUAAUGAUAAAGACAAGUGGGCAACCCCAAGCAUUGUAAUGGUAAAGACACCUGGGUGAUCCCAGGAAUUCUAAUGUGAGAGACUCCUGGCCAACCCCAGGCAUUCUAAUAAAGAGACUUCUGUCUGACCACAGGCUGUCUAGUGAUAGAGAUACCAGGGUUACUCCAGGCAUUCUAAUGAAAGAGACUCCUGGCGGACCCCAGACAGUCUAUUUAAAGUGAUAACCUGGGCCACCACAGGCACUCUAAUGGAAGAGACUCCUGGCUGACCCCAGGCAUUCUAAUGGGAGAGAAUCCUGGCCGAACCCAGGCAGCCAAUGGAUAGAGACACCUGAGCAAACCCAGGCAUUCUAAUGAAAGAGACUCCCGGCCGACCCCAGGCAGUCUAAUAAUAGAGACACGUGAGUGGACACAGGCAUUCUAAUAGGAGAGAUUCCUGGCUGACCCAAGCAGUCUAAUUAUAGACACCUGGGUGACUCCAGGCUUUCUAAUAGGAGAAACCCCAGGCUGACCCUAAGCAGUCUGAUGAUAGAGGCUUCUUGGUGACGGCAAGCAUUCUAAUGUGAGAGACUCUCGGCCAACCCCAGGCAUUCUAAUGAUAGAGACAUUUGGGAGCCCCCAGUUAUUUUAAUGAUAGAGACACCUGAGCGACCCUAAGCAUUCUAAUGGGAGACAACAAGGCUGAAACCAGGCUUUCUAAUGGGGAGACACCUGGCUGAUCCCCAACAGUCUAAUCAUAAAAAACACCUGGAUGACUCCAGUCAUUUUAAUGGCAGAGACUCCCGGUCUACCCCAGGUGUUUUAAUGGGGAGACUUCUGACCGACCCCAGGCAGUCUAAUCAUAAAGACAGCUGGGCUAAGCCAGACAGUCUAAUGAAAGAGAUUGCCAGCCGAACACUGGCUGUUUAAUUAUAAAGACACUUGGGCAAUCCCAGGCGUUCCAAUGGAGGAGACUCCCAGCUGACCACAAGCAGUCUAAUGGUAUUGACACCUGGAAGUCCCAAGACAUUCUAAUGGAAGAGAUUCCCGUCCUACCACAGGCAUUCUAAUGAUAGAGAUACCUGGGCCACCCCAGGCAUUCUAAUGGGAGAGACUCCUGGCUGACAACAGACAGUCUAAUGAUAGAGAAACUUGGGCGAACCCAGUAUUCUGAUUGGAGAGAUUCUAGGCAGUCUGAUAGUGACAACUGGGCAACUACAGGCAUUCUAAUGGGAGAGGCUAAUGGCUGACCACAGGCAUUUUAAUUGGAGAGAAUCCUGACUGACCCAAGGAAAUUUAAGGAUAGAGACACCCGGGUGAUCCCAGACAUUCUAACGGGAGAGACUCCUGACCGACACCAGACAGUCUAAUUACAGAGACACUUGGGCUAUCCCAGGCAUUCUACUGAAAGUGACUCCCGUUUGACUCCAGGCAGUCUAAUGAUAGAAAUACCUGGUUGACUUCAGGCAUUGUAAUGGGAGAGACCCCCAUCCAAUCCCAGGCAGUCUAAUGAUAGAGACAGCUGGGCGACCCCAGGCGUUCUAAUAGAGUAUCGGCUAACCACAGGCAGUCUAAUGAGAGAGACAACGUGGAGACCUGAUUCAUUCUAAUCAAAGAGACUCCCAGCGAACCCCAGUCAUUCUAGUAAAAGAGACACUUGUCCGACUUCAGGCAGUCUAAGUAUAGAGACUGCGGGGCAACCCCACACAUUCUAAUGGGAGAGAGUCUGGGCCAAACCCAGGCAGUCUAAUUAUAGGACACGUGAGCGACCAAACUCAUUCUAAUGGGAGAAACUCCUGGCGGGCCCCAUGCCACCUAAUGAUAGAGACACUUGGACGACCCCAGGCAUUCUAAUGGGAAAGAUUCUUGGCCGACCCCAUGCUGCCUAAUGAUAGAGACAUCUGAGUGAACCCAGGCAUUCUAAUGAGAGAUGCUCCUUGCCUAUUCCAGGCAUUCUAAUGACAGAGACACCUGGGCAACCCCAGGCAUUGUAAUGAUACAGACAUGUGGGCGAUUUCAGGCAUUCUAAUGAAAGAGACUCCCUGCGGACCCAGGCAUUCUAAUGAGAGAGACUCUCAGCCGAUCUCAGGCAGUCUAAUGAUAGAGACACUGGAGUGACCAAAAGGAUUUUAAUAAAAGAGACUACCGGGCAACCACAGGCACAGACAAUCUAAUAAUAGAGACACCUGGGUGACUUUAGACAUUUCAGUGGGAGAGACUCCCAGCCGGCCCCGAGCAAUCUAAUGAUAGAGACACCUGGGAAACCUCAUGUAUUCUAAUGGGAGAAACUUUUGGCUGGCCCCAGACAUUCUAAUGGGAGAGACUGCUGGCCGACCCCAGGCAGUCUAAUGAUAGAGACACCUUGGCCACCCCCGUAUUCUAAAGGGAGAGACUAUUGACAGUCCCCAGAUUUUUUAAUGAUACAGACACCUGCGUGAGCCUAAGCAUUUUAAAAGGAGAGACUCUUGGUGACCACAGACAUUCUAAUAAUAGAGACACCUUGGCGAUUCCAGUCAUUCUAAUAGGAAAGACUCUCUUCUGAACCCAGGCAUUGUCUUGGGAGAUAAUCCUGGCUGAACCCAGACAGUCUAAUUAUAAAGACACCUGGGCAAGCCUAGGCAUUCUAAUGGGAGAUACCUCCCCAGUGUCCCCAGGCAGUCUAAUGAUAGAGACACCUUGACGACCACAGGCAUUAUUAUGAGAGACACACUUUGCCAAACUCAGGCAGUCUAAUGCUAGAGACAAUUGGGCGACAAGCAUUCUAGCGGGAAAAACUCCCGGCUGACCCCAGGCAUUGUAAUAAAAGAAAAGCCUGAGUGAUCCCAGCCAUUUUCAUGGGAGAGACACUUGUUCGACCCCAGGCAUUCUUAUGGGAGGGACUACUGGCCAACACCAGACAGUCUAAUAAAAAAGACAUGUAGAUGACCCCAUGCAUUCUUUUUUUUUCACACUUUAAAUACUUUAUUUAUAUAAAAACUCAUUUGUUUUUAAAAGCAUUAACAAGACAGAAAGAAAAGAGAAAAAGUAUGGAGCAGAACACAAGCCCGUUAGCAGUGUUCGGUGGGAAGGUGGGAUUUUUGGUUCUCUGGAAUUGAAUGUUUAGUGUUUUUAUAAACAAAAGAGGAAAAAAAAGUUAAAGGUCCCCAAAAGCCCAUGGCUAUCCUAUUACCCAUACCCCACUGAGAAGGGAGGGGGCAGGGAUAGCAUUAGGAGAUAUACCUAAUGCUAAAUGACGAGUUAAUGGGUGCAGCACACCAACAUGGCACAUGUAUACGUAUGUAACAAACCUGCACGUUGUGCACAUGUACCCUAAAACUUAAAGUAUAAUAAUAAUAAAAUUAAAUAUAUA